rnacentral:rRNA from 1 species
AGCGAACGCUGGCGGCAGGCUUAACACAUGCAAGUCGAGCGGUCGUAGCAAUACGGCAGCGGCAGACGGGAGAGUAACACGUGGGAACGUACCCUUCAGUACGGAACAACCAAGGGAAACUUUGGCUAAUACCGUAUACGUCCGUAAGGAGAAAGAUUUAUCGCUGAAGGAUCGGCCCGCGUCUGAUUAGCUAGUUGGUGGGGUAAUGGCCCACCAAGGCGACGAUCAGUAGCUGGUCUGAGAGGAUGAUCAGCCUCACUGGGACUGAGACACGGCCCAGACUCCUACGGGAGGCAGCAGUGGGGAAUAUUGGACAAUGGGCGCAAGCCUGAUCCAGCCAUGCCGCGUGGAUGAUGAAGGCCCUAGGGUUGUAAAGUCCUUUCGACGGGGAAGAUAAUGACGGUACCCGUAGAAGAAGCCCCGGCUAACUUCGUGCCAGCCGCCGCAGUAACAC